rnacentral:rRNA from 1 species
AGUGAACGCUGGCGGUAGGCCUAACACAUGCAAGUCGAACGGCAGCACAGUAAGAGCUUGCUCUUACGGGUGGCGAGUGGCGGACGGGUGAGGAAUACAUCGGAAUCUACUUUUUCGUGGGGGAUAACGUAGGGAAACUUACGCUAAUACCGCAUACGACCUACGGGUGAAAGCAGGGGAUCUUCGGACCUUGCGCGAUUGAAUGAGCCGAUGUCGGAUUAGCUAGUUGGCCGGGUAAAGGCCCACCAAGGCGACGAUCCGUAGCUGGUCUGAGAGGAUGAUCAGCCACACUGGAACUGAGACACGGUCCAGACUCCUACGGGAGGCAGCAGUGGGGAAUAUUGGACAAUGGGCGCAAGCCUGAUCCAGCCAUACCGCGUGGGUGAAGAAGGCCUUCGGGUUGUAAAGCCCUUUUGUUGGGAAAGAAAAGCAGCAGGUUAAGACCCCGCUGUUCUGACGGUACCCAAAGAAUAAGCACCGGCUAACUUCGU